CAGCAGCCGCGGUAAAACGGAGGGUGCAAGCGUUAAUCGGAAUUACUGGGCGUAAAGCGCACGCAGGCGGUCUGACAAGUCAGAUGUGAAAUCCCCGGGCUUAACCUGGGAACUGCAUUUGAAACUGUCAGGCUGGAGUCUUGUAGAGGGGGGUAGAAUUCCUGGUGUAGCGGUGAAAUGCGUAGAGAUCUGGAGGAAUACCGGUGGCGAAGGCGGCCCCCUGGACAAAGACUGACGCUCAGGUGCGAAAGCGUGGGGAGCAAACAGGAUUAGAUACCCCAGUAGUCCCUGUCUCUUAUAC
rnacentral:rRNA from 1 species